GAUGAACGCUGACAGAAUGCUUAACACAUGCAAGUCUUUGGCGAAGCUGUGCUUGCACAGCCUAGCCAAGGCGGACGGGUGAGUAACGCGUAAGGAACUUGCCCUGCAGUCAGGGAUAACAGACGGAAACGACUGAUAAGACCUGGUAAAGUCAGGCGGACUCAUGUCCAGCCUGAUGAAAAGAGAUGCUGCAGGAGAGCCUUGCGUCCUAUUAGCUUGUUGGUGGGGUAACGGCCCACCAAGGCGAUGAUAGGUAGCCGGCCUGAGAGGGUGGACGGCCACAAGGGGACUGAGAUACGGCCCUUACUCCUACGGGAGGCAGCAGUGGGGAAUAUUGGACAAUGGGGGCAACCCUAAUCCAGCAAUUCUGUGUGCACGAUGAAGGUUUUCGGAUUGUAAAGUGCUUUCAGCAGGGAAGAAAAAAAUGACGGUACCUGCAGAAGAAGCGACGGCUAAAUACGUG
rnacentral:rRNA from 1 species